UACCUGUUCGAGCGUCAUUACACCCCUCAAAGAUGCAUCUUUGGCGUUGGGCAAUGCCUAGAGGCAUGCCUCAAAAUCAGCGAUGGUGAUACCCAACCACAGGCGCACAAAUGUCGUUUAGCUGGUGGGGUGUUGCCAAUCAAUUGAUGAAUUUCAAAAAUGUUGACCUCGGAUCAGGUAGGAAUACCCGCUGAACUUAA
rnacentral:misc_RNA from 1 species